GCACAAGCGGUGGAGCAUGUGGUUUAAUUCGACGCAACGCGCAGAACCUUACCAGGGUUUGACAUCCUGAGACCGCCUCUUAAUAGGGGUUUUCCCGCAAGGGACUCAGAGACAGGUGCUGCAUGGCUGUCGUCAGCUCGUGUCGUGAGAUGUUGGGUUAAGUCCCGCAACGAGCGCAACCCUCGCCUUUAGUUGCCAUCAUUCAGUUGGGCACUCUAGAGGGACCGCCGGCGACAAGCCGGAGGAAGGUGGGGAUGACGUCAAGUCCUCAUGGCCCUUACACCCUGGGCUACACACGUGCUACAAUGGCGGUGACAGUGGGCAGCUACUUCGCGAGAAGCGGCUAAUCCCAAAAAACCGUCCCAGUUCAGAUUGUACUCUGCAACUCGAGUACAUGAAGGUGGAAUCGCUAGUAAUCGCAGAACAGCAGGCUGCGGUGAAUACGUUCCCGGGC
rnacentral:rRNA from 1 species